GUGUCAGCAGCCGCGGUAAUACGGAGGGUGCAAGCGUUGUUCGGAAUCAUUGGGCGUAAAGCGCGUGUAGGUGGCUUGGCAAGUCGGUUGUGAAAUCCCGGGGCCCAACCCCGGAACUGCAUUCGAAACUGCCUCGCUAGAGUCCCGGAGAGGAAGGCGGAAUUCCCGGUGUAGAGGUGAAAUUCGUAGAUAUCGGGAGGAACACCAGCGGCGAAGGCGGCCUUCUGGACGGUGACUGACACUGAGACGCGAAAGCGUGGGGAGCAAACAGGAUUAGAAACCCCAGUAGUCC
rnacentral:rRNA from 1 species